CUCUUCCUCCUUCUCUCCUCCUUUCGUUUAUUUCACCAGCAUGGACGGAUACUUCUGCCAGGGGCCCCACCGAUCCACCUUGGUAACUUUAUGUAUACAAUCUUAUAGGUUUUUGCUCAUCUAUAUAUAUAUAUAUAUAUAUAUAUACACAGGAAGAGCUUCAGUUUGGUGAAGCUUUUUAAAAUGCUAAAAAUACUUAUUUGUUUCCUUCACAAUCAAAAUCCAAAAAAUUCAAAAUAAACAAGGACAAAUAGGUAAAAAAUCAUAUCUCAACAAAAAACUGUAUUGAAAAACAAAAUAAAUAAAAAGUAAAUCCGUGUUGAAAAAUAAUAAGCGCCAACAAGAUAAUAGUUUAUUCUGUAUGAUUCUCACAAUCUGGAUUGAGUUUAGUGGGACAUUCCACAAUAACUACCUACGCUCCACUAAUAUUUAGAGAUGAAUAAACUCUAAAAUUCAAAAAAAAAAAAAAAAGAACAAAGGGGUAAAAAAACGAUAACUGAAAGAGAGAGAAAGCACUAAAACGGAUGAGUUUUGCUGGAUGAGGAAUGAGAACUGCAAACGUGGGAUUCAAACAAACCCUCCAUGUUCUGCAAACUAACAACCAAAUCAAAGCCGGGAAAAGGAAUUCUUAGAAUUUAGUUUUGUGUGGGCAAAGUGUGGGCUUUGAGAGCGAGCUAAAGCUAUCUAGCAAUUCAAUGGAAUCGGAGAAGGAAUCUCCAUAGUUGAACCAAAGCCUAUACCUGAAUAUUGAGUCGUAUAGGAAAUCUAUUGCAAGGAGCGGAUGGAAAGAAGAACGGAACUAAAACGAAGUAUGCCCAUAUGCAGUUUGGUUUCAGUGCAUUUUAUCCAUCAAAAUAAGAAAAGAGAAUAAGUAGUAUGAAGUUUCUUUUUUCUUACGGACAAAAUUUCGAUUAUGUAUAUUAUGCUGAUGUAGGAGAAGUUGCUUCUUUUUUUGGGUGUUCCUAGCUGGUGGAAAUCAGACUAUUUAUUCGAAGUGUCUAUUGAUAAGAUUUGAUUCCACAAAGAUAAUGUUGUUGCCGUACCUAUUAUUUUAUAGUGUCAUACAACAAUAUGCUUAUAGAUGUAUGCUUCUAUAAGCUAUCAAAGCAAAGAGAAAUUUUCUUUUCUUUGUCCGUGUUAAAUGUGUGUAUAUAUGCACCAUGAUUUUUAUUUUAUUUGGAAAUAUACUACUAUUGCAUCCCUAUUUACCGAUUUAUUAUUGCAGAAGAGUACAAAAUAUUGCAAAGUAACUUCUAUUCAACGUUGUUCAACAUAAUAGCAAAAUAAAUUGUCUCUUAAUAUUGUAUUUCUAAGUCUAAUCCUAAGGUAAACCAAAAAAAAAUUUUGCAAGAGCAUGUGUAAAAAGACUAAAUGAUUUGGUGUGUAUUUGUCACAAAAAAAAAAAAA